AAAGGGGACUGCUUGUCAGGCUUGGCAAACUCAGUGACAGAAAGUGACCACACAGGAUGGUCUCAUAAUACAUUCCUAACUGGGGUGGGCACGGUGGAUAGUCAUGUAUGUCCCAGUCUUAUAGCUUCCUUAGCAAAGGUCAAUCUUUAAGUGAGCCUUGCACCCAUUGUUCUUAUGCAGCUAAGAUAACAACUGUGAAAUGCCUGAGUAAUUUUCUUCUUCAGACCUAAAAAGCCCAACCUGCAGCACCAGAACACAAGACCACAAAACUCGCUGUUAUUUUGUUGCCUGCACCUGUAUCUAUGCACUAUAAUUAUCUUCUAUCCAUCCACGUAAAAGAUGUAUGUGCUUUUCCAUUUUGUUUUUUUAUCCAAUCUUAGAUGUUUCCCUCCUUUGCUUUUCCUGCUUUGAUUUCUCCUGCUUUCUUAAUGUACCACCAGUGGAUUUCAUGUAACCUUCCUUUGAUUCUAAAUGUAUAAAAUUAGCUGCAAAACGG